CCUACGGGUGGCAGCAGUGAGGAAUAUUGGUCAAUGGACGAGAGUCUGAACCAGCCAAGUAGCGUGAAGGAGGACGGCACUGUGGGUUGUAAACCUCUUUUAUAUGGGAAUAAAAUCUUCGACGCGUGGGAGUUUGUAUGUACCAUAUGAAUAAGGAUCGGCUAACUCCGUGCCAGCAGCCGCGGUAAUACGGAGGAUCCGAGCGUUAUCCGGAUUUAUUGGGUUUAAAGGGAGCGUAGGGGGGUUGUUAAGUCAGUUGUGAAAGUUUGGGGCUCAACCGUGAGAUCGCAGUUGAAACUGGCAGUCUUGAGUACAGGAGAGGUAUGCGGAAUUCGUGGUGUAGCGGUGAAAUGCUUAGAUAUCGCGAAGAACUCCGAUUGCGAAGGCAGCUCACUGGACUGCAACUGACGCUGAGGCACGAAAGUGUGGGUAUCGAACAGGAUUAGAUACCCCGGUAGUC
rnacentral:rRNA from 1 species